UACGAGGGGGCGAGCGUUGUUCGGAAUUAUUGGGCGUAAAGGGUGCGUAGGCGGUUCCGCAAGUCCUGUGUGAAAUCUUCGGGCUCAACUCGAAGUCUGCACGGGAUACUGCCGGGCUAGAGUUCGGAAGAGGCGAGUGGAAUUCCUGGUGUAGCGGUGGAAUGCGCAGAUAUCAGGAGGAACACCUAUAGCGAAGGCAGCUCGCUGGGACGACACUGACGCUGGAGACGCGAAAGCGUGGGGAGCAAACA
rnacentral:rRNA from 1 species